AUUGAACGCUGGCGGCAGGCCUAACACAUGCAAGUCGAACGAGUGGCGGACGGGUGAAUAAUGUCUGGGAAACUGCCCGAUGGAGGGGGAUCACUACUGGAAACGGUAGCUAAUACCGCAUACCAUCGGAUGUGCCCAGAUGGGUUGAGCUAGUAGGUGGGGUAACGGCUCACCUAGGCGACGAUCCCUAGCUGGUCUGAGAGGAUGACCAGCCACACUGGGACUGAGACACGGCCCAGACUCCUACGGGAGGCAGCAGUGGGGAAUAUUGCACAAUGGGCGCAAGCCUGAUACAGCCAUGCCGCGUGUAUGAAGAAGGCCUUCGGGUUGUAAAGUACUUUCAGCGGGGAGGCGUUACUGACAGAAGAAGCACCGGCUAACUCCGUGCCAGCAGCCGCGGUAAUAC
rnacentral:rRNA from 1 species